GACGAACGCUGGCGGCGUGCUUAACACAUGCAAGUCGAACGGAAAGGCCCUGCUUUUGUGGGGUGCUCGAGUGGCGAACGGGUGAGAACACGUGAGUAACCUGCCCUUGACUUUGGGAUAACUUCAGGAAACUGGGGCUAAUACCGGAUAGGAGCUCCUGCUGCAUGGUGGUGGUUGGAAAGUUUCGGCUGUUGGGGAUGGACUCGCGGCUUAUCAGCUUGUUGGUGGGGUAGUGGCUUACCAAGGCUUUGACGGGUAGCCGGCCUGAGAGGGUGACCGGCCACAUUGGGACUGAGAUACGGCCCAGACUCCUACGGGAGGCAGCAGUGGGGAAUAUUGCACAAUGGGCGGAAGCCUGAUGCAGCAACGCCGCGUGCGGGAUGACGGCCUUCGGGUUGUAAACCGCUUUCGCCUGUGACGAAGCGUGAGUGACGGUAAUGGGUAAAGAAGCACCGGCUAACUACGUG
rnacentral:rRNA from 1 species